UCCUAGUCGAGUGACCGAGCGCGGAAAAUAAUCGGGCAUCAAAUGUAGUGCCGAAGCUAUAGGAUUACGUAAGUAAUCGGUAGGGGAGCAUUCUGGUCUGCACUGAAGGCGAUUCGUAAGGAUCUCUGGAGCGGCCAGAAAAGAAAAUGUAGGCAUAAGUAACGAUAAAUAAAAUGAAAAAUUUUAUCGCCGUAAGACUAAGGAUUCCUGAUCAACGCUAAUCGAAUCAGGGUUAGUCGGGUCCUAAGGUGUAACCCGAGAGGGGCAACCGAUGGAAAACUGGUUAAUAUUCCAGUACCUGCUUAUAUUGCGAUGGGGUGACGAAGUAGUGAAAGUACCGCGGGGUUACGGAAUAUCCCGUUAAAGCGUGUAGACAUUGAUAGAGUAGGCAAAUCCGCUCUUGAGUCGAACGUGAUAGUACUCAAAGUUCUCGAACUGAGAGAUAGUGUACCUAAUCAGACUUCCUAGAAAAACCUCUAAGCUUCAGAUAUGAGCAGCCCGUACCGUAAACCGACACAGGUAGUCGAGGAGAGUAUCCUAAGGCGCUCGAGUGAGUCACGGCUAAGGAACUCGGCAAAAUGGACCCGUAACUUCGGGAGAAGGGUCGCCCCAGCAAUGGGGCCGCAGUAAAAAGUAUCAGGCGACUGUUUAACAAAAACACAGGGCUCUGCAAAAUCGAAAGAUGAAGUAUAGGGCCUGACACCUGCCCGGUGCUGGAAGGUUGAGGAAGGUUGUUAGCCGCAAGGCAAAGCUUCCGACUGAAGCCCCAGUAAACGGCGGCCGUAACUAUAACGGUCCUAAGGUAGCGAAAUUCCUUGUCGGGUAAGUUUCGACCUGCACGAAUGGUGUAACGAUCUGAUAACUGUCUCAGCCGUGAGCUCGGUGAAAUUGUAGUCCCGGUGAAGAUGCCGGGUACCCGUAACGGGACGGAAGGACCCCGUGAACCUUCACUACAACUUUGCAUUGACUUUGAGUAAACGAUGUGUAGCAUAGGUGGGAGACUAUGAAGCGGGCACGCUAGUGUUCGUGGAGUCAACGUUGAAAUACCACCCUUUGUUUACUUAGAGCCUAACUCCUAAUUGGAGGAAAGUGCAUGGUGGGUAGUUUGACUGGGGUGGUCGCCUCCAAAAGAGUAACGGAGGCUUCCAAAGGUACCCUCAGCACGCUUGGUAACCGUGCGCAGAGUGUAUUAGCAUAAGGGUGCUUGACUGUGAGAUCGACGGAUCGAGCAGGUACGAAAGUAGGGUAAAGUGAUCCGGUGGUUCUGCAUGGAAGGGCCAUCGCUCAAAGGAUAAAAGGUACUCCGG
rnacentral:rRNA from 1 species